rnacentral:rRNA from 1 species
UACGUAGGGUGCAAGCGUUGUUCGGAAUCAUUGGGCGUAAAGCGCGUGUAGGCGGUUAGUUAAGUCGAUUGUGAAAUCCCUGGGCUCAACCGAGGAAGUGCAGUCGAAAACUAAACUAGCUAGAGGACGGCAGAGGAAGGUGGAAUUCCAAGUGUAGAGGUGAAAUUCGUAGAUAUUUGGAGGAACACCGGUGGCGAAGGCGGCUAUCUGGACAACAACUGACGCUGAGGCGCGAAAGUGUGGGGGAUCAAACAGG